AAGGAUGUAGUUCAAGCAGCAGAACGCGUGGUCCGGGACCACGAGGUCGCCGGUGCAAGUCCGGCCAUCCUUACCA
rnacentral:tRNA from 1 species